UACCAGCACCCCGAGUGGUCGGGACGAUUAUUGGGCCUAAAGCAUCCGUAGCCGGUUCUGCAAGUCCCCCGUUAAAUCCAGCUGCUCAACAGAUGGGCCGCGGAGGAUACUACAGAGCUAGGAGGCAGGAGAGGCAAGCGGUACUCAGUGGGUAGGGGUAAAAUCCGUUGAUCCAUUGAAGACCACCAGUGGCGAAGGCGGCUUGCCAGAAUGCGCUCGACGGUGAGGGAUGAAAGCUGGGGGAGCAAGCCGG
rnacentral:rRNA from 1 species